GAUGAACGCUGGCGGCGUGCCUAAUACAUGCAGGUCGAGCGAACAGAUGAGGAGGUUGCUCCUCUGACGGUAGCGGCGGACGGGGGAGUAACACGUGGAUAACCUACCUAUAAGACUGGGAUAACUUCGGGAAACCGGAGCUAAUACCGGAUAAUAUAUUGAACCGCAUGGUUCAAUAGUGAAAGACGGGUUUGCUGUCACUUAUAGAUGGAUCCGCGCCGCAUUAGCUAGUUGGUAAGGUAACGGCUUACCAAGGCAACGAUGCGUAGCCGACCUGAGAGGGUGAUCGGACACCCUGGAACUGAGAAACGGUCCCGACUCCUACGGGAGGCCGCAGUAGGGAAUCUUCCGCAAUGGGGGAAAGCGUGACGGAGGAAAGCCGCGUGAGUGAUGAAGGUCUUCGGCUCGUAAAACUCUGUUAUUAGGGAAGAACAAAUGUGUAAGUAACUAUGCACGUCUUGACGGUACCUAAUCAGAAAGCCACGGCUAACUACGUG
rnacentral:rRNA from 1 species